GGAAGUAAAAGUCGUACCAAGGUUUCCGUAGGUGAACCUGCGGAAGGAUCAUUAUUGAAUGAAACACUUCUGGCUUUAUGCUGUUGUGCUGGCCCUUUGGGCAAUGUGCACACGGCUCUGGUCACUUGUUUCUUCUGUUCCACCUGUGCACUGCCUGUAGACACGCUGUGUCUAUGAUAUUUGUUAACACACAACAAUGUUAGUUGGCAUGUUAUAUAUAAUAAUAAAAUAUACAACUUUCAACAACGGAUCUCUUGGCUCUC
rnacentral:misc_RNA from 1 species